AUACGUAGGGUGCGAGCGUUGUCCGGAAUUACUGGGCGUAAAGAGCUCGUAGGUGGUUUGUCGCGUCGUCUGUGAAAUUCCGGGGCUUGACUCCGGGCGUGCAGGCGAUACGGGCAUAACUUGAGUACUGUAGGGGAGACUGGAAUUCCUGGUGUAGCGGUGAAAUGCGCAGAUAUCAGGAGGAACACCGGUGGCGAAGGCGGGUCUCUGGGCAGUAACUGACGCUGAGGAGCGAAAGCAUGGGUAGCGAACAGGAUUAGAUACCCUGGUAGUCCAUGCCGUAAACGGUGGGCGCUAGGUGUAGGGGUCUUCCACGACUUCUGUGCCGUAGCUAACGCAUUAAGCGCCCCGCCUGGGGAGUACGGCCGCAAGGCUAAAACUCAAAUGAAUUGACGGGG
rnacentral:rRNA from 1 species